GUGGGGAAUAUUGGGCAAUGGGCGCAAGCCUGACCCAGCAACGCCGCGUGAGGGAAGAAGGCUUUCGGGUUGUAAACCUCUGUCCUUGGUGACGAAACAAAUGACGGUAGCCAAGGAGGAAGCCCCGGCUAACUACGUGCCAGCAGCCGCGGUAAUACGUAGGGGGCGAGCGUUGUCCGGAAUUACUGGGCGUAAAGGGUGCGUAGGUGGCCUUUUAAGUUGGAUGUGAAAGACCCGGGCUUAACUUGGGGGGUGCAUCCAAAACUGGGAGGCUAGAGUGCAGGAGAGGAAAGCGGAAUUCCUAGUGUAGCGGUGAAAUGCGUAGAUAUUAGGAGGAACACCAGUGGCGAAGGCGGCUUUCUGGACUGUAACUGACACUGAGGCACGAAAGCGUGGGGAGCAAACAGGAUUAGAUACCCCGGUAGUCC
rnacentral:rRNA from 1 species